AUUAGGAGCAGUUCAAAUCACUGUCCACAACCUGUACCUGUUUAACCUGUUUGGCCUUCUGGAAUCAAGUGUGUCUGCGCUAUAAGCAAUGGCACUUCAGGGAACAAUUGGAGAUCCCAAGGAGGUGAUGUACAGGUGCGGCUAAUUUAUGGGAUGCUCUUUUCUAUUCUCUCAUUUUUCAGCAAGAUGUCCCUGUUACACAUAAGGGAAGGCUUCCUGACCUUCCAAACUUGCUGUUACAAAUUCUAUUAUGAACAAGACACUUACUGAAAUCAAGAUUGUCAUGAACAGUGACUUCUGAGUUGAACAUCUGACAUGUGCUGCCCAUCUACAGUGUGCUGAAGGUGCAGCUGGUGGGGAAAAAGCCCAGUGCCCUUUAAGCCAAACUGGGCUAAGUGACCCUUUUCAUUCUUGAUUGCAGUCUGCAUUCCUGUAUCUGCUCUGUGCCCUUUGCUCUGCUUGGCCUGGCUGAAGGAAGCACCUCUACUCCACCACCAUCUGGGCCUUUCCUAAACCUUGUCACCUGAGAGCCAUUCUCAACCUGCAGAACUUCCAGGACAACACUUUAACUUGAUUACUUCCCCAACCUAUGCCCUCCAGCCACCAGAAAGAAGCCUUCAGGAGUCCCUACAGCACCCACGCAGGCCCUCUCCAGUUUUCCCCCUCCCUUCCUGAUGCUGUGAAAACCACAGAAUAAAUGUUUAUCACUUUCAAAAAUAUUAUAUAUAUAUAUAAUAUAAAUGAAUUUUUCUUUUUACUGCACAUAAUAUAGUACCCUGUUCACCUCUCAGAUAAAUAAAUCAUAAUUAUCAUUUUCUGCUUUUAAAUACCCUGAAAAUAUAAAAAGUUACAUAAAAUCAAUUUUUUGAAACAUAAGUGCCUUAUAAUUAAUCAAACUGUAUUCCUGUCUAUUAUAUUAAGGUUUUUUUUUUCUUUUUCUGUGUGGUAUAAAUGCAACUAUGAGAAAUUCUUACAA
rnacentral:lncRNA from 1 species